UAUGUAGGGUGCGAGCGUUGUCCGGAAUUAUUGGGCGUAAAGGGCUCGUAGGCGGUUUGUCGCGUCGGGAGUGAAAACGCCGUGCUUAACACGGCGCUUGCUUUCGAUACGGGCAGACUAGAGGUAUGCAGGGGAGAACGGAAUUCCUGGUGUAGCGGUGAAAUGCGCAGAUAUCAGGAGGAACACCGGUGGCGAAGGCGGUUCUCUGGGCAUUACCUGACGCUGAGGAGCGAAAGCGUGGGGAGCGAACAGG
rnacentral:rRNA from 1 species